rnacentral:rRNA from 1 species
AGCGUACACGGUGGAUGCCCUGGCAGUCAGAGGCGAUGAAGGACGUGCUAAUCUGCGAAAAGCGCCGGUAAGGUGAUAUGAACCGUUAUAACCGGCGAUGUCCGAAUGGGGAAACCCGGUGCACUUCGGUGCAUCAUCGUUAGCUGAAUACAUAGGCUAACGAGGCGAACCGGGGGAACUGAAACAUCUAAGUACCCCGAGGAAAAGAAAUCAACCGAGAUUCCCCCAGUAGCGGCGAGCGAACGGGGAACAGCCCAGAGCCUGAAUCAGCUUGUGUGUCAGUGGAACGGUCUGGAAAGGCCGGCGAUACAGGGUGACAGCCCCGUACACGAAGGCACACAGGCUGUGAGCUCGAUGAGUAGGGCGGGACACGUGAUAUCCUGUCUGAAGAUGGGGGGACCAUCCUCCAAGGCUAAAUACUCCUGACUGACCGAUAGUGAACCAGUACCGUGAGGGAAAGGCGAAAAGAACCCCGGCGAGGGGAGUGAAACAGAACCUGAAACCGUGUACGUACAAGCAGUGGGAGCCUUCGUAAGAGGGUGACUGCGUACCUUUUGUAUAAUGGGUCAGCGACUUAUAUUCUGUAGCAAGGUUAACCGUAUAGGGGAGCCGAAGGGAAACCGAGUCUUAAUUGGGCGUUAAGUUGCAGGGUAUAGACCCGAAACCCGGUGAUCUAGCCAUGGGCAGGUUGAAGGUUGGGUAACACUAACUGGAGGACCGAACCGACUAAUGUUGAAAAAUUAGCGGAUGACCUGUGGCUGGGGGUGAAAGGCCAAUCAAACCGGGAGAUAGCUGGUUCUCCCCGAAAGCUAUUUAGGUAGCGCCUCGUGAACUCAUCUCCGGGGGUAGAGCACUGUUUCGGCUAGGGGGCCAUCCCGGCUUACCAACCCGAUGCAAACUGCGAAUACCGGAGAAUGUUAUCACGGGAGACACACGGCGGGUGCUAACGUCCGUCGUGAAGAGGGAAACAACCCAGACCGCCAGCUAAGGUCCCAAAGUCAUGGUUAAGUGGGAAACGAUGUGGGAAGGCCCAGACAGCCAGGAUGUUGGCUUAGAAGCAGCCAUCAUUUAAAGAAAGCGUAAUAGCUCACUGGUCGAGUCGGCCUGCGCGGAAGAUGUAACGGGGCUAAACCAUGCACCGAAGCUGCGGCAGCGACGCUUAUGCGUUGUUGGGUAGGGGAGCGUUCUGUAAGCCUGCGAAGGUGUGCUGUGAGGCAUGCUGGAGGUAUCAGAAGUGCGAAUGCUGACAUAAGUAACGAUAAAGCGGGUGAAAAGCCCGCUCGCCGGAAGACCAAGGGUUCCUGUCCAACGUUAAUCGGGGCAGGGUGAGUCGACCCCUAAGGCGAGGCCGAAAGGCGUAGUCGAUGGGAAACAGGUUAAUAUUCCUGUACUUGGUGUUACUGCGAAGGGGGGACGGAGAAGGCUAUGUCGGCCGGGCGACGGUUGUCCCGGUUUAAGCGUGUAGGCUGACUUUCCAGGCAAAUCCGGAAAGUUAAGGCUGAGGCGUGAUGACGAGGCACUACGGUGCUGAAGUGACAAAUGCCCUGCUUCCAGGAAAAGCCUCUAAGCAUCAGGUAACAUCAAAUCGUACCCCAAACCGACACAGGUGGUCAGGUAGAGAAUACCAAGGCGCUUGAGAGAACUCGGGUGAAGGAACUAGGCAAAAUGGUGCCGUAACUUCGGGAGAAGGCACGCUGACAUGUAGGUGAAGCCCCUGCGGGUGGAGCUGAAGUCAGUCGAAGAUACCAGCUGGCUGCAACUGUUUAUUAAAAACACAGCACUGUGCAAACACGAAAGUGGACGUAUACGGUGUGACGCCUGCCCGGUGCCGGAAGGUUAAUUGAUGGGGUUAUCGCAAGAGAAGCUCCUGAUCGAAGCCCCGGUAAACGGCGGCCGUAACUAUAACGGUCCUAAGGUAGCGAAAUUCCUUGUCGGGUAAGUUCCGACCUGCACGAAUGGCGUAAUGAUGGCCAGGCUGUCUCCACCCGAGACUCAGUGAAAUUGAACUCGCUGUGAAGAUGCAGUGUACCCGCGGCAAGACGGAAAGACCCCGUGAACCUUUACUACAGCUUGACACUGAACAUUGAGCCUUGAUGUGUAGGAUAGGUGGGAGGCUUUGAAGCGUGGACGCCAGUCUGCGUGGAGCCGACCUUGAAAUACCACCCUUUAAUGUUUGAUGUUCUAACCUGGCGCCGUGAUCCGGCGUGGGGACAGUGUCUGGUGGGUAGUUUGACUGGGGCGGUCUCCUCCCAAAGUGUAACGGAGGAGCACGAAGGUCAGCUAAUCCUGGUCGGACAUCAGGAGGUUAGUGCAAUGGCAUAAGCUGGCUUGACUGCGAGAGUGACGGCUCGAGCAGGUGCGAAAGCAGGUCAUAGUGAUCCGGUGGUUCUGUAUGGAAGGGCCAUCGCUCAACGGAUAAAAGGUACUCCGGGGAUAACAGGCUGAUACCGCCCAAGAGUUCAUAUCGACGGCGGUGUUUGGCACCUCGAUGUCGGCUCAUCACAUCCUGGGGCUGAAGUAGGUCCCAAGGGUAUGGCUGUUCGCCAUUUAAAGUGGUACGCGAGCUGGGUUUAGAACGUCGUGAGACAGUUCGGUCCCUAUCUGCCGUGGGCGCUGGAGAAUUGAGGGGGGCUGCUCCCAGUACGAGAGGACCGGAGUGGACGCAUCACUGGUGUUCGGGUUGUCAUGCCAAUGGCACUGCCCGGUAGCUAAAUGCGGAAGAGAUAAGUGCUGAAAGCAUCUAAGCACGAAACUUGCCCCGAGAUGAGUUCU